rnacentral:rRNA from 1 species
CACGUAGGGUGCGAGCGUUGUCCGGAAUCAUUGGGCGUAAAGAGCGCGCAGGCGGCUUGGCAAGUCGGGUGUGAAAUCCCGGGGCUCAACCCCGUGACUGCAUCCGAUACUGUCAGGCUAGAGGUAGGUAGGGGAGAUCGGAAUUCCUGGUGUAGCGGUGAAAUGCGCAGAUAUCAGGAGGAACACCGGUGGCGAAGGCGGAUCUCUGGGCCAUUACUGACGCUGAGGAGCGAAAGCGUGGGGAGCGAACAGG